rnacentral:rRNA from 1 species
AGAGUUUGAUCCUGGCUCAGGAUGAACGCUGACAGAAUGCUUAACACAUGCAAGUCUACUUGAAUUUGGGUUUUUAACUUAGGUUUGGGUGGCGGACGGGUGAGUAACGCGUAAAGAACUUGCCUCACAGCUAGGGACAACAUUUAGAAAUGAAUGCUAAUACCUAAUAUUAUGAUAAUAGGGCAUCCUAUAAUUAUGAAAGCUAUAUGCGCUGUGAGAGAGCUUUGCGUCCCAUUAGCUAGUUGGAGAGGUAACGGCUCACCAAGGCGAUGAUGGGUAGCCGGCCUGAGAGGGUGAUCGGCCACAAGGGGACUGAGACACGGCCCUUACUCCUACGGGAGGCAGCAGUGGGGAAUAUUGGACAAUGGACCGAGAGUCUGAUCCAGCAAUUCUGUGUGCACGAUGAAGUUUUUCGGAAUGUAAAGUGCUUUCAGUUGGGAAGAAAGAAAUGACGGUACCAACAGAAGAAGUGACGGCUAAAUACGUGCCAGCAGCCGCGGUAAUACGUAUGUCACGAGCGUUAUCCGGAUUUAUUGGGCGUAAAGCGCGUCUAGGUGGUUAUAUAAGUCUGAUGUGAAAAUGCAGGGCUCAACUCUGUAUUGCGUUGGAAACUGUAUAACUAGAGUACUGGAGAGGUAAGCGGAACUACAAGUGUAGAGGUGAAAUUCGUAGAUAUUUGUAGGAAUGCCGAUGGGGAAGCCAGCUUACUGGACAGAUACUGACGCUAAAGCGCGAAAGCGUGGGUAGCAAACAGGAUUAGAUACCCUGGUAGUCCACGCUGUAAACGAUGAUUACUAGGUGUUGGGGGUCGAACCUCAGCGCCCAAGCAAACGCGAUAAGUAAUCCGCCUGGGGAGUACGUACGCAAGUAUGAAACUCAAAGGAAUUGACGGGGACCCGCACAAGCGGUGGAGCAUGUGGUUUAAUUCGACGCAACGCGAGGAACCUUACCAGCGUUUGACAUCUUAGGAAUGAGAUAGAGAUAUUUCAGUGUCCCUUCGGGGAAACCUAAAGACAGGUGGUGCAUGGCUGUCGUCAGCUCGUGUCGUGAGAUGUUGGGUUAAGUCCCGCAACGAGCGCAACCC